AACCUCAAAAAAAGAUGUGAGAAAGAGGGUUGGGAAAGCUGACAGAUCUGCUAUGGCAGAGCUUCUAAAGAAGAAAAAGACUGAAGACCAGCGGAACCAUGAAGCACACACAACAAGUAAGUUUCCCUGCACUUCCAUGGGCCAAGUACGUGCACGCAUGGGCCAGAAGCUGAAAGAUGUCCGUUCAUCUCGAAGACGUGCAGAAAA